CUGCAGCUCAAGUGGUGACCACUAUUAUUGGGCCUAAAACGUUCGUAGCCGGUUUGGUAAAUGCCUGGGUAAAUCGUGUAGCUUAACUAUACGAAUUCCGGGUAGACUGCCAAACUUGAGACCGGGAGAAGCUAGAGGUACUCCUGGGGUAGAGGUGAAAUUCUGUAAUCCUGUGGGGACCACCAGUGGCGAAGGCGUCUAGCUAGAACGGGUCUGACGGUGAGGAACGAAGCCCUGGGGCGCAAACCGGAUUAGAUACCCGAGUAGUCC
rnacentral:rRNA from 1 species